rnacentral:lncRNA from 1 species
UGGCAGUGUAUCGCAGGGUGUGCUGUGACUAGCCAUGGUAGCCUCGACUUCUCCUCUCAGCCCAGAGAGACGUUUAUCAAAGAAAGCUACAGGUAAUUUCUCAAUACGGAGUACACAAGGUUGGACUCCUGUACUUGGUAGAGUUCCAGUACGGAUUUGAAAAUGAAGAGCAAUGCUGUCUUCAGUUCCCAGUUGUGCCUUUAAAGCAUCCCUUGAACAUAAACCAGUUGACAGAUGGCAUUUCCCAGGCAAGGGUCGAGUCCUACUGGCACGUUCCUGAUCCCAUUCGCAGACACAGAGGCCACCUUCAUAUGGACUUCAUUGUCCAGAU